rnacentral:rRNA from 1 species
CCUACGGGAGGCAGCAGUGAGGAAUAUUGGUCAAUGGCCGCAGGGCUGAACCAGCCAAGUCGCGUGAGGGAUGACGGUCCUAUGGAUUGUAAACCUCUUUUGUCAGGGAGCAAAGGGCGCCACGUGUGGCGUUUUGCGAGUACCUGAAGAAAAAGCAUCGGCUAACUCCGUGCCAGCAGCCGCGGUAAUACGGAGGAUGCGAGCGUUAUCCGGAUUUAUUGGGUUUAAAGGGUGCGCAGGCGGAAUGUCAAGUCAGCGGUAAAAUUUCGGGGCUCAACCCCGUCGUGCCGUUGAAACUGGCGGUCUUGAGUGGGCGAGAAGUAUGCGGAAUGCGUGGUGUAGCGGUGAAAUGCAUAGAUAUCACGCAGAACUCCGAUUGCGAAGGCAGCAUACCGGCGCUCAACUGACGCUCAUGCACGAAAGCGUGGGUAUCGAACAGGAUUAGAUACCCUUGUAGUC